rnacentral:rRNA from 1 species
GUGGGGAAUUUUGGACAAUGGGCGCAAGCCUGAUCCAGCAAUGCCGCGUGCAGGAAGAAGGCCUUCGGGUUGUAAACUGCUUUUGUACGGAACGAAAAGGCUCUGGUUAAUACCUGGGGCUCAUGACGGUACCGUAAGAAUAAGCACCGGCUAACUACGUGCCAGCAGCCGCGGUAAUACGUAGGGUGCAAGCGUUAAUCGGAAUUACUGGGCGUAAAGCGUGCGCAGGCGGUUUUGUAAGACAGACGUGAAAUCCCCGGGCUCAACCUGGGAAUGGCGUUUGUGACUGCAAAGCUGGAGUGCGGCAGAGGGGGAUGGAAUUCCGCGUGUAGCAGUGAAAUGCGUAGAUAUGCGGAGGAACACCGAUGGCGAAGGCAAUCCCCUGGGCCUGCACUGACGCUCAUGCACGAAAGCGUGGGGAGCAAACAGGAUUAGAAACCCCUGUAGUCC